rnacentral:rRNA from 1 species
AUUGAACGCUGGCGGCAGGCCUAACACAUGCAAGUCGAACGGUAACAGGAAGCAGCUUGCUGCUUCGCUGACGAGUGGCGGACGGGUGAGUAAUGUCUGGGAAACUGCCUGAUGGAGGGGGAUAACUACUGGAAACGGUAGCUAAUACCGCAUAACGUCGCAAGACCAAAGAGGGGGACCUUCGGGCCUCUUGCCAUCGGAUGUGCCCAGAUGGGAUUAGCUAGUAGGUGGGGUAACGGCUCACCUAGGCGACGAUCCCUAGCUGGUCUGAGAGGAUGACCAGCCACACCGGAACUGAGACACGGUCCAGACUCCUACGGGAGGCAGCAGUGGGGAAUAUUGCACAAUGGGCGCAAGCCUGAUGCAGCCAUGCCGCGUGUAUGAAGAAGGCCUUCGGGUUGUAAAGUACUUUCAGCGGGGAGGAAGGGAGUAAAGUUAAUACCUUUGCUCAUUAACGUUACCCGCAGAAGAAGCACCGGCUAACUCCGUGCCAGCAGCCGCCGUAAAAC